rnacentral:rRNA from 1 species
CGAACGAGUGAGUAACACGUGCGUAAUCUGCCUCGAAGUGGGGGGAUACCUAUCGGAAACGAUAGCUAAUACCGCAUAGUCUCUUUUACAUGGGAAUGUAAAAAGAGUAAAGCUCCGGCGCUUCGAGAGGAGCCUGCGUCCAAUUAGCUAGUUGGUGGGGUAAAAGCCCACCAAGGCGACGAUUGGUAGCUGGUCUGAGAGGACGAUCAGUCACACGGGAACUGAGACACGGUCCCGACUCCUACGGGGGGCAGCAGUGAGGAAUAUUGCACAAUGGGGGAAACCCUGAUGCAGCAACGCCGCGUGGAGGAUGAAGGCUUCGGUCGUAAACUCCUUUUCUGGGGGAAGAGAACGGACGGUACCCCAGGAAUAAGUCACGGCUAACUACGUGCCAGCAGCCGCGGUAAUACGUAGGUGGCGAGCGUUAUCCGGAAUUACUGGGCGUAAAGCGCGCGCAGGCGGUCAGGCAAGUUUGGCGUGAAAGCUCCCGGCUUAACUGGGAGAGGUCGUUGAAAACUGCUUGGCUUGAGGCGAUGAGAGGGGUACGGAAUUCCAGGUGUAGUGGUGGAAUGCGUAGAUAUCUGGAGGAACACCAGUGGCGAAAGCGGUACCCUGGCAUUGACCUGACGCUCAUGUGCGAAAGCGUGGGGAGCGAACGGGAUUAGAUCCCCCGGUAGUCCACGCUGUAAACGAUGAAUACUAGGUGUGGGUGGUGUCAAACCCAUUCGUGCCGAAGCUAACGCGAUAAGUAUUCCGCCUGGGGAGUACGGCC